AGGUUCUGCCACUUGGCAUCACCUCAUUAAACCAACACACUUGUCAAAAUUCUAGCCCCUCCACGUUAGUAUAAUCUUAUGUGUAAUUUUGUGAGAUUUUUUACUUUUUUAUGUUUAACUAAAGCACAGUCCCCAACUCUCUCUGUAACAUCUCUUUCACCCUGUACACACAAAACGUCAAAAACCCAGCUCAUACCCAUCUUUCCCUUUCUUCUUCAAAAUUCAAAUUCAUUGUUUCCCAAGCCAGAUCUACAAAAAUCCAUGAGCCCUCACCUUUAUCUUCAUCCAACGUGUCAACCCAGGGAUGCAUAUAUCCUAAACAAGAAGGUCAAAGCUAAGCAGCAUUCUUCCCAGCUUGAUUGAAUCUAUAUGAAGUAAAAUUAGCGGGUCAUUUGGCUUCAAAAAGAUUCAAAUUUUGAAUCCCAUCAAUUUCUUCAAACAAGCAAACGGUGAGAUCACUUUUAAGGUUUCUUGCUUCAUCUCCUCUUUCCCAUUGCCAUUUCCUCUUUCCUAUUGCUGAUGCUUAUCCUUAUCUUUUUACUUCUUUGAAAAUUGAAGCCCUAAUCAACGUUGUUGCUUCUCCCCUUAUAUUUUACUUCCUCCCCACAUUACUAGACUCACAAUUCCAUUCAAAUUUUGAAUUUCAAAAUGUCUGCAAAGAGAGUAGCUGAGAGAUAGAGAGGGAAUCCAAAAGGGAGAGAACGAGAAAGACAGAGAGAGAAAUGCGAUGGUUCUAAUGAACGAAGAAAGGGUUAAAACCUCCGGGCUAUCUUAAAACCGGCACUACCCUUGUCGGUGUAGUCUGUAAGCAGCGACUUUCUUUUGAGCUUCAUAUCUAAGUUACCUGUUAGCUCGCUGAUCCAGAUUCCAGAUACAUGAUUACGUUGGCGUCAUUUGUUACCAGAGACGAACUGGCAGCAAUUAAGGAAGGUCGUCGCCGAUGAAUUUUCCACCCACUGGAUCAAAUUUACACCUGUGUUCAGGUAUGCUUUUUCUUGGUUUUCUUUGAAUUCCUAUAAUUAAAAACCAACGCAAAGAACGAUGACUAAUCUAUAAAAUGCGUAGUAUUUUAGUUGAAAAUGUUUGUGUAAACCUGGUGUGCAUCUUCCUAAUGCAUGGAUAGGCCUUCAAACAUGAGGCUUUACACAAAAGGCCAAACUAUGUGAAUUCCUUUGUUUCUUCCAAAACUAUCUUUGGUGCUACAAGCUCAUAUUAUGAUGUUUUGCACCUGACCUGGACUACAAAGAAGCGCCAACUACAAAUUGAAAUGAUCGAUCAACUUUGUAACAAGUGGCACUGUGGAUCCAAUUGGUUGCACAGAGAGCAAUGCCCGUUGAAUGGUGAUUGAAGUAUUUGGAUUUGGAUGGCCGGAAGAGUUUAACGUAGCCAUGAUGGCUAAAUGGUGGUGGCGGUUUCGGGACUGCCCCACCCACCCACCUUUGGUUAGAUGUCAUCUUAGCUAUACAUGGGCCGGAUAACGAAGAUAAAAUCAUCCCGGUUAAGCGUGCUAUUGCUGGAUGGUGGAAAGAUGAAAAAGUUUGGUAUCAAGAUUAAAAAAAAAACUGAAAGUCGAAGUUGGGACGAAAAAUCAAGAAGGUUUUGGCUUGACGAUUGGCUUGGGCAGGGUACUCUUAAACAUCGAUUCCCGUUGAUCUUCAGACUUGCGGCUAACAAAAGGACAUGCGUUAGUAACUGUUUUCAACAAAUUUAUAACCAGAUUCAUUGGAGUUGGGGCUGGUCAAAAGAUCCUAAUUGAGUUGAAGAGUGGGCUCAAGUGGGCAACUAAAUGAGUUGGUUGCAAUAGGUUAAUCUCAAGGGUGGGAAUGGUAGGUGGCGGUGGGAUAAUUUGGAGGGGAAGACUUCUCGACCAAGGCUUUAUGACAUGAAAUGACGCUGAAAGCUGAAGUGUAAAUUGAUAUGGGUUCGUUUUGGUACAACUCUUGGGCUCCACUGAAGGCGAACUAUCUGGUAGUUGUGCAGAUUUAAACAAAGUUGUGGCAAAGGUUCAGCUAGCAAAUAGAGGUAUGCUCUUCUAUGAUGUUUUGUGUAGUAUGUGCGUCUUCCGAGAGGAAAUAUGUGACCAUGUCUUCAUGUCAUGUAUUUGGACCGGAAGUGUUUGGUAGCAUGUCUCUAUAUGGUUGAUAAUUGCCAUUAUGAUGGACUUUGAGUCAGUGGGUCAGAUCAUAAAGCAUGUUAAUGAGCAGGUUGGCUGGUGUAAGUAAUGGGGUGGGUUUCCUGGUGUAAGUCUUGGUUUGCGUAUAAAUAAAUGGUGUAUAUAUGAUAGUUUCAUCACUGUUUGGGUACAUCGG